rnacentral:rRNA from 1 species
AUGAACGCUGACGGCGUGCUUAACACAUGCAAGUCGAACGAAGCAUUUGCGACAGAUUUUUUCGGAAUGAAGUUGCUUAUGACUGAGUGGCGGACGGGUGAGUAACGCGUGGGUAACCUGCCUUGUACUGGGGGAUAGCAGCUGGAAACGGCUGGUAAUACCGCAUAAGCGCACAAUGUUGCAUGACAUGGUGUGAAAAACUCCGGUGGUAUAAGAUGGACCCGCGUCUGAUUAGCUAGUUGGUGAGAUAACAGCCCACCAAGGCGACGAUCAGUAGCCGACCUGAGAGGGUGACCGGCCACAUUGGGACUGAGACACGGCCCAGACUCCUACGGGAGGCAGCAGUGGGGAAUAUUGCACAAUGGAGGAAACUCUGAUGCAGCGACGCCGCGUGAGUGAAGAAGUAAUUCGUUAUGUAAAGCUCUAUCAGCAGGGAAGAUAGUGACGGUACCUGACUAAGAAGCUCCGGCUAAAUACGUG